CAGUAGCCGCGGGAAUACGGAGGGUGCAAGCGUUAAUCGGAAUUACUGGGCGUAAAGCGCACGCAGGCGGUCUGACAAGUCAGAUGUGAAAUCCCCGGGCUUAACCUGGGAGCUGCAUUUGAAACUGUCAGGCUGGAGUCUUGUAGAGGGGGGUGGAAUUCCAGGUGUAGCGGUGAAAUGCGUAGAGAUCUGGAGGAAUACCGGUGGCGAAGGCGGCCCCCUGGACAAAGACUGACGCUCAGGUGCGAAAGCGUGGGGAGCAAACAGGAUUAGAUACCCGCGUAGUCCCUGUCUCUUAUAA
rnacentral:rRNA from 1 species